rnacentral:tRNA from 1 species
AACAGGGUGGCGUAGUGGAAGCGUGCUGGGCCCAUAACCCAGAGGUCAAUGCAUCGAAACAAUUUCCUGCUA